CUGUGGUCCAGUGGUUAAUGAAAAGGGCUUGUAACCAGGAGGUUCCCAGUUCAAAACCCAGCUCACCCACUGUGUGACCCUGAAGACCUGCAUAGCAGCGGGUGAAGUGAGCUGAAGGCAGGACUGGCAGCAGGCAGCUGUGGAGCAUGCUGAGGACUGUCUGUCAGGGUAUUGCAGAUCACCAUGGCUGAAAACCGGCAGAUCAGGGAUCAAGUGAUGCUGCGUAUACUGCCCUGACUUAGAAACCCUACACGUCUGGACGGCUGACAGCUGCUGAGGAAGCACAUUUAACUUCAGAUAACUAUAGUUGUUGCCACAGUGUUUACUAUUGACAAAUGUACUAACUACACUAUAUAUAAAGUGUUUAAACAUAGUAUUAGCAACAGAUUAUGAACACAUUUUAGUAUGUAUUCAUUUUACAUUAUACUGUUUAUUUUGAUAACCCCUGUGUUUUGUGUGUCCACAGUAGUCUAAAACAAUUAAAAUAAGCACUUUAAUGUUUAACAUUUGGGUUUACAGUGUACCAUCUUUCUUCACUACACUGCUGAAAACAAAUAUCAUGUGAUAUUCUCUUUGUUUUACAUAACAUUUUGAAUACGUGUUUGCACAUGUCAAUGCAGCUCCAAUAAUUUGUCAAACACAGGAUAGACAAAAU